AAAAUAUCUACUGGACAUUUAGUUUGAGAUUUCUGAAAGACAGUUAAAGAUUUGAAAUUGAAGGUCAACAGAGAGAUUAGUGCAGGAAAGGGAGAAUUGAGAGUCAUUAACAGAGAGAUGGUAAUUAAUUCCAUGGCAGUUGAUGAGUUUAUAAAGUGAAGUAGUAGAAAGGUAGAUGUGUAAAGGACCCAGGAUAGAACCUGAGGGAAACCUAUAUUUAGAGAACUUUAUCAGGUAAAGGGACUGAACAUGCUUAACCUGGGGAGAGAAAGACUCAUAAGGACAUGACCAUUUUCUUCAAAUAUUUGAAGUUCUAUCAUGUAGAGAACAGUUAAGCCUCCUCCAUGAUUAGAAGUUCCAUGAGUCCUGGUGACUACUUAUCAGAAGGCCAAUUCUAUAAGGCCCUAAAGGAAAAACUAUCAACGGAAGAUGAAAGUUUCAAGGAGUCAUUUCAGUCAAGCAUGGAGACAAAGCCAUUAAGAGAAGAAAACAUUUCUGCAAGAGAAAAAUAAACAGCAUAGAAUGAAAGACUUGGAUGACAAGAGUGUAUUGAGGAAACUUCAGGUGCCGGUAACACAUUAAGAUGGAGAUGGUGAAUAUACAAUUAGAAGUACAGAUCUAUAUAGCUCAGUAGAAAGAUUAUAGCUAGAGGUAAAAAUCGGAGGAACCCAAUGUU
rnacentral:lncRNA from 1 species